AACGCGUGCCCCCCAUCUCGUCUCUCACUUUGUCUCCCUCUUCAGAGAUGACCUAAGCAGAACCGUAGUGGCGCUCCUAAACUCUCCACUAUACCGUGGCGGUGCCACCACCAAUCGCUCCCAAAAUUUACACCAUAGUACCCUCUCACUCUCCUCUUUCCCAAUCCAUAACCCGUUUUCCUCGAAUCACCCUAGAAUUUUUUGAAUCUUGAUUUGAAGUUCGAACCCUAAAAUUCUAAAACCCCAGAUCGGCGGGUUUAUUUUGAGAUAUAAGGUGGAAGGACAUUAUUCGUGUGUUUCCAUUUGGGAACAUACGAUUAAGGUCUACUCCAGUCAAUAAUCAAAGUUUCCUUCCAAGUUGGUUCAAGACUGUUUGCCACUUGGUUCGAUAGGUAUUUCUGGUAUUUCCUCUUUUUUCUUUUUUAUUUCUUCUUCUUCUUCUUCUUCAUCUUCUUCUUCUAUUUUCUUCUUUUUCUUCUGUUUUAUCAAAUCAUCUUUGCAUGUGUUUCUUUUAAUUUAGGUUGCAUGUUAAUUAGUUUUGUUCUCUAGUUUAGUUUGGUGUUUGUCCUUUUUGUUUUUGGGCUAUUGAGAGCAUUUGAUUCAGAAUUUCGAUUGAAUCCAAAUUGCCUUUUACUUCCUCGAAUCUUCUGUUUGAAGUUUUUGAUUUGGAUUUGGGCCCAAAGGAAAAGAAAAGAUUGGCUCAGGUUUUUUUAAAACUCAUACUGGCUUAAAUCAUUGGGUCGAAAUGACCCAUGAGAUUUCUAAGGUAAUUAGCAGGGUCUUAAGGAGUAGCUUAGAAAUUCUAAGUAGGAGAAUCUUAUAAGUGCAAAAUUGUUUUCAACUUUGCUGCCCUAAUACCUUGCCUAUAAAGGCACCAUUUCUUCUUAAACAAGGUAGAGUUUUAGAGAUAGAAAAACACUAAAAAAUAACAAAACGGCUAGAUCAUUUUGAAGCUCUGAAAACAUUGAAAUUUGCAUAGAGUUGUCUGGUUCUUAAGUCCCCUUAGUCCGAUUUUUCAAAAGCUCUGAAACUGGUAUUAAUUCUGGGGUUUCGGAGCUCGGUUAAAGGCCGGAUAAUUGUUGUUUGCUUGGCUAUUUUCUAUUGCUGAUUAUUGCUGUUGUUUCAUCUUAAAUUCUUCAGCUUAUUUACUUUGUUUGUUGCUGCAAUACGGAUUCAUCCAACCUCAAAUGGCGUGUUAAAGUGGAAAUGAAAUGAGAAUGAUAUCAUGUUUCAUAACAGUUUAUCUUAGAGUAUUUUGGUUUCAUGUUCAUUAAAGUCUUGUUAUGUGUUUAUAUGCUCAUUAAAUUGUUACUAUUAAGGCAUCUAUAAAUUUAUUAAGCUCAUUUGAUUGUUGUGUUUUGAGUUAUGAGCUGAUACAGAUUGUUUUUAAAUAUAUUUGACCUCUGCUUUAGUAUUGUUGGUUUCAAUGCGAGUAUGGUAUUCAGAAGUUGAACAUGAGGUUUUGUUAGUAAAGUUGUGGUUGUCUGCCUUUGUUAAAUAUUAGUUUAGGCCUUUGAACAAACUUAGCAUAUGUUAUUGUAUUUUGAUAUGCUGACUCGAAUGGCUUGAGUACUAUGUUGAAACUAUCAAAGAUGCUGCCUCAAAUGAUGAUUAGUAGUGAUUUUGAUUUUCAGAUUCCCUAUAGUUUUCAUGUUCUUUUAGAAUGAAAAGUUUUCGUUUUCUUGAAAAUAAAAGCAUGCUCUUGGCCCUUCUUCAUCAUAAAGGCUUGUGGUAUAGCUAAAAGAUUUAGGUUUUAAUUUCAUAACAAUGUCAUUUGUUUUGUCUUCAAAUGUAUGCUAAAAAUGCAAAGUGUUGAGGCUGCUGGGCUUAACUUGAAGCCCAGAGAAGACCGGUCUGUAGCCAUGAAUUUUGGUUCUCGUGUGGGUUCAAUAUGUUAUCUCCGGGUUUUCAGUAUUUGUCCAUAAUCUUAAAAGAGCUUGAUUAAUUCAAAGGACUAGGUUUUGAUAGAAGUCCCUUUUAAAGACAUUAAUUCAACUUUCAGGUGUCUUUGGCUUUUAUUAAUCUGUGUUUAACAAAUUUUUGUACAACUUAUUGUUUUGUGAUUUGGACUCGACAUUGGCCCAGUCAGCAUAAAGAAUUUAACCUCUUGGACUGCCCAUCACCCACUUUUCCUCUUGGGUCUUAUUCCAGUCCAGAAGCCCAGCAACCGUUUGUAAAUAAUAGCCCUACAAUCAACAACUUUUAGUUAUGGUCCUAAAAAGGAUAAUUCGUUUACUUAGAUGGGGCAUGCCGUAUCAGAUAAAUAGUCUAUGGCCCUCAAAAGCUUAGCUUGAUUUUUUUUUAUAAUUCGAAUCGAGGUGUGCCGUGUCAAAUAAAAUCUCAAAAAGCAUGGCCCUCACUUAAUUAAUUUUAAAUCCUUACAAAUUGAGGUGUGCCAUUUAGUUGAAUUUUCCAUGGCCCUCGCAAAGUUGAAAAUAUAUAGUUGCUUUAGGCGCAUAACUUAAAAUUACCUUCCUAAGCUCAGGUGUGCAUUUCAUGUGACCCAAAUCUAAAUCUCAACAAUGUUAAAUAAAAUAUGUCGUGUAUCGCGGGUGCAUUUCAUGUGGCGCAGUUCAAAGACAUGUUUUAGAUAACAUUGAAUCUUUCCCAAAAAUAGUCAAAAGCGGUUUAAAAAAUUAAAAUAUACCAUAGGCUAAAACAUGUACUAAAAUCAGAUAAUGAACCAAUUAUGAUAGUUUAAACGACGUUGCUGAAACCACAGAAUCCGGGGAUGCUUAACACCUUCCCUCGGGUUAAUAGAAUUCCUUAUUCAGAAUUUUAGGUUCGCAGACUUCAAAAGAAAAGUCGAAAUCUUCCUCGAUUUAGGAUUUAAAAUAAGCCAGUAACUUGAGACACUAGAAAAUAAACCAUCACAAUUGGUGACUCUGCAUAAAUAAAUAAAUAAUUCCAUUUCGAAUGACGUCAUUUUAAUUAGAAAAAAACCCUUUAUACUCCCCUUGGGUGUGUAAACAAGGAGGUGUGGUAGUCAUAUUUAUCACAUACAUGUGACCCGGUAGUUUUCUAUAAGAUUUGUGUGGUAUCCCUCUUAGUAGUUCAAACGCCUUUUCUUUGGUUCUAUAAGCUUUUACGUAACUCAUAUUAAUCUCGUACUGUUAUUUCAUGCGCUCAUAAUGUCUUCCAGAGUGUAUAUUAUUUUUGGAUUGGCAUAUUUGUUGCAAAUUAUUUUUGUAGUGGCCGACGAAGUAGCAUGAUAUUGUGAAAACAUUCUAUUCAUCUCUAGGCAAAUGUGAACAUCAUUGAACCGUCUAACCUUGAAGACAUUUGAUACCUGUAGACUUGAAGAUCUUAGCCCCCGUUUGCAACUUUCAUCCACGCAAGUAAUACAAUACCUAUUUAAAAUAUAGUGAUACGAUAGUGCAUUUCUUCAGAUUUUUAUGUCCCAAAUAAACAAGCAGUAUACAUAUGCAAUCUCACUAUACAAUUAAUUAUAAAUUUGUUAUACAAGUAGUAUACAUAAAAUUACAGAGAAGUAAAAGCUCAUAAGUAGAAAUCAUACCUUGUUGUAGAUGAUCUGUUUACUAUAAAUUGACAUUUUUCUUGUAUUGACUAGUGCUUUAUUACACUAAUGAGUAUAUCUUUUUUCCAAUACUACUGACCUUCUAUAAUUUGUUCUUGUUAUGGAUUGUCUAUAAUACAAUUUUCCUUCAAUGUCUCAAUUUUAUGUUCUUUUACAUAAUUAUCCAUCAUCUGACAUUGUAAACCAGCUGAAGUUGUUGCGAGUAAGUUGCCAGCUGAAGUUAUUGCGAGUAAGUUGCCAGCUGAAGUUGUUGCGAGUAAGUUACCACCAAAGUAUGAACUUGAAUAUGGGCAUUCAGCACUUGAAUACAAAUUUUUCAAUGUUAUGUAUAAUGGAUGUU
rnacentral:lncRNA from 1 species